rnacentral:rRNA from 1 species
UUCUUGGAGAGUUUGAUCCUGGCUCAGGACGAACGCUGGCGGCGUGCCUAAUACAUGCAAGUCGAGCGGACUUGAUGGAGAGCUUGCU